rnacentral:rRNA from 1 species
UACAGAGGUCCCAAGCGUUGUUCGGAUUCACUGGGCGUAAAGGGUGCGUAGGUGGUGGGGGUAAGUCGGAUGUGAAAUCUCCAGGCUCAACCUGGAAAUGGCAUUGGAAACUACCUUGCUAGAGGGUUUGAGGGGGGACUGGAAUACUUGGUGUAGCAGUGAAAUGCGUAGAUAUCAAGUGGAACACCAGUGGCGAAAGGCGAGUCCCUGGAAAAUACCUGACACUGAGGCACGAAAGCUAGGGAGCAAACAGG